UUGCUCCUAACAGUGUUCAUUAUUUAUUAACUCUGUGGCAAAGGAUGGUAGCAUCUGUUCCUUUUGUGAAAUCAACUGAACCCCACCUAUUAGACACUUAUGCACCAGAAAUCACGAAGGCCUUUAUCACUUCUCGGUUGGACUCUGUUGCCAUAGUUGUGAGAGAUCACUUAGAUGAUCCACUGGAUGAUACUGCCACUGUGUUUCAGCAGUUGGAGCAGUUGUGUACGGUCAGCAGAUGUGAAUAUGAAAAGACAUGUGCUCUUCUUGUGCAGUUAUUCGACCAAAAUGCACAGAAUUACCAAAAACUUCUGCAUCCAUCUUCUGGUGUAACUGUGGACAUCACCAUUCAGGAAGGACGUCUUGCAUGGCUGGUAUACUUAGUUGGGACAGUUGUAGGAGGAAGAUUAACAUAUACCAGUACAGAUGAGCAUGAUGCUAUGGAUGGAGAAUUAUCCUGUCGAGUUUUUCAGCUUAUAUCUUUAAUGGAUACCGGAUUGCCUCGAUGUUCUAAUGAGAAAAUAGAGCUUGCAAUUCUGUGGUUCUUGGAUCAGUUUCGUAAAACAUAUGUUGGUGAUCAACUUCAAAGAACCUCAAAGGUUCUUCAGCAGUCUGUGCUCUCUGUUAAUUCCAGGUAUUAGAAGAAAAUGUUUCCCCUGCUUAAUUAUGCCUAGUGUUCCAUUAUUGGAACGCUACGCAUGUGGGAGUUAUUUGUAUCCUACUGCUUAAGGUCAUCGUCAAGGUCUGAUUGCAAAAAUUUUAAAAA
rnacentral:sRNA from 1 species